GUAGGGAAUCUUCGGCAAUGGACGAAAGUCUGACCGAGCAACGCCGCGUGAGUGAAGAAGGUUUUCGGAUCGUAAAACUCUGUUGGUAGAGAAGAACGUUGGUGAGAGUGGAAAGCUCAUCAAGUGACGGUAACUACCCAGAAAGGGACGGCUAACUACGUGCCAGCAGCCGCGGUAAUACGUAGGUCCCGAGCGUUGUCCGGAUUUAUUGGGCGUAAAGCGAGCGCAGGUGGUUUAUUAAGUCUGGUGUAAAAGGCAGUGGCUCAACCAUUGUAUGCAUUGGAAACUGGUAGACUUGAGUGCAGGAGAGGAGAGUGGAAUUCCAUGUGUAGCGGUGAAAUGCGUAGAUAUAUGGAGGAACACCGGAGGCGAAAGCGGCUCUCUGGCCUGUAACUGACACUGAGGCUCGAAAGCGUGGGGAGCAAACAGGAUUAGAUACCCCGGUAGUCC
rnacentral:rRNA from 1 species